CUUGACCUAAUAUCUGUCCUAUGGAAGUGGUCAUAAAUGCUGGCUAUUAUUACCAUUAUUAUUAAGAUGGAAUGAUGAUGACGAUGAUGAUGAUGAUGAUGACGAUGAUGAGAUGACAAUCAUUAUGAUGAAAGAGAAGGACCAAAGGAAAGAAAACAGGAAUGAGAGUGUUCCUAGUAAUGGAAAAGGAGGAAGAAGAGGAAACAUUCCAGACAGAAGCAAUCUCUUACUGCAAGAGAAUAAGAAGUAAUAAGAAUUUUCAUCAUUUGAAAUGCAGCCAUGUGGCAAUUUUAUCCAUCCAGAACAACUGACAUACAGUAAAUACUUAACAUGUAGCAGAUUCUGCUGUGUUUUUUGAUGUCUUGUUAUAUUAAAUCUCUUCAACCACACUAUGAGGUAGGUGUGUCUUUCCUUCUCAUUCUGUGAAGUAAGGAAAUGGAGUCAUAGAGAAGUUACAUGUGCAGGCCUCAUAGCUAGUACAUGCUGGAAGUGCAUUCCGCCUCUGGGACCUGGAAUCUUUAUUCUUAACCAUUUCAGAACAUGACCUCUGUUCAGUUGGAAUAGAGUAGAGGAAUGAAUUGCAAGAAAGCGCAAACAUACUCUGAG
rnacentral:lncRNA from 1 species